GUCAAAGCAGGAGCAGGCGGUGCAGUAUUCUAGUCAAAACCACUCCUCUGAAGGCGGGGCUAAAAAUCCGUCGAGGGCACAUCGAUGAAGUUCUUGGUGCUGGCCGCUGACGCCCAGUCGGGGGCUGGUGCUGGGAGUAAGGAGGAUGGGGCGAUCUACAAUGGCAUGUAGGCGUUGACCCUACCUCCGCGGAGACCUAAGUGCGUGGCUCCAAGAAAAUACUGAAAGUUACGGCUUAGGGUGUGAACCUGCAUCCGAUGAAUGUUGGGUGCAGCGUAGCCUGCCUUGAGUGGGAUGGGCGGAAAAAGGAUGUUACUUGAUAUGUGGUUUGGCCAAACCGCAUAUCAAAUCUUUACCUUUGAAAUCCAUCCUGCAAAAGAGGCUAGGAGGAGUCAGGUUUUGGUGAGGAAAACUCCUAGACUGUUCCGCAAGGAGAUAGACAGGGGAUUACAGUGUGGACUAAGUGGCAAUCUAGCCCUGUUUUUGGCAACAAAGCAGCGGUGGACUUAAAGGGGAACCGUCUUUUCGGCAACGAUUAGAUGUCUGCCGGGGAAAUCCUGCUAGACCUAAGCCACAAAAUUUACCCUGCCUAUUACCGCCUGCUCACGUAUAAAA
rnacentral:sRNA from 1 species